rnacentral:rRNA from 1 species
CAAUAGCGUAUAUUAAAGUUGUUGCAGUUAAAAAGCUCGUAGUUGGAUUUCUGGUAGGAGUGACCGUUCCGAACUUGAUUGUUCGUGUAUUGUGUUUUCUCCAGCCAUCCUUGUGGAGAACUUUUCUUGCAUUAAUUUGUAGGGAUUGGGACCCGCAUCGUUUACUGUGAAAAAAUUAGAGUGUUUAAAGCAGGCAAUCGCUUGUAUACAUUAGCAUGGAAUAAUAAGAUAGGACUUUGGUACUAUUUUGUUGGUUUGCAUACCAAAUUAAUGAUCAACAGGAACAGUUUGAGGAUAUUCGUAUGAACAUGUCAGAGGUGAAAUUCUUGGAUUUUGAUCAGACGAACUACUGCGAAAGCAUUUAGCAAGGAUGUUUUCAUUAA